GCCAACCCAAGAGAUUGGGCGUUCCCUUCGGGGACAGAAUGACAGGUGGUGCAUGGUUGUCGUCAGCUCGUGUCGUGAGAUGUUGGGUUAAGUCCCGCAACGAGCGCAACCCUUAUUAUUAGUUGCCAGCAUUUANUUGGGCACUCUAGUGAGACUGCCGGUGAUAAACCGGAGGAAGGUGGGGACGACGUCAAAUCAUCAUGCCCCUUAUGAGCUGGGCUACACACGUGCUACAAUGGAUGGUACAACGAGUCGCGAAACCGCGAGGUCAAGCUAAUCUCUUAAAGCCAUUCUCAGUUCGGAUUGCAGGCUGCAACUCGCCUGCAUGAAGUUGGAAUCACUAGUAAUCGUGGAUCAGCAUGCCACGGUGAAUACGUUCCCGGGCCUUGUACACACCGCCCGUCACACCAUGAGAGUUUGUAA
rnacentral:rRNA from 1 species